rnacentral:rRNA from 1 species
GGGUGCGAUCAUACCAGCACUAAUGCACCGGAUCCCAUCAGAACUCCGAAGUUAAGAGUGCUUGGGCGAGAGUAGUACUAGGAUGGGUGACCCCCUGGGAAGUCCUCGUGUUGCACCCC